rnacentral:rRNA from 1 species
UUGGAGGGCAAGUCUGGUGCCAGCAGCCGCGGAAAUUCCAGCUCCAAUAGCGUAUAUUAAAGUUGUUGCAGUUAAAAAGCUCGUAGUUGAAUUUCGGGGUCAGUAGGUCGGUCGUGCCACUGGUAUGAACUGGUUUUACUGAUUCCUCCCUCUUGAAGAACUGUAAUGCCAUUAAUUUGGUGUUGCAGGGAAUCAGGACUGUUACUUUGAAAAAAUUAGAGUGUUUAAAGCAGGCUUUAGCUUGAAUACAUUAGCAUGGAAUAAUGAAAUAGGACGUUUGAUCCUAUUUUGUUGGUUUCUAGGAUUGACGUAAUGAUUAAUAGGGAUAGUUGGGGGCAUUAGUAUUCAAUUGUCAGAGGUGAAAUUCUUGGAUUUAUUGAAGACUAACUACUGCGAAAGCAUUUGCCAAGGAUGUUUUCAUUAAUCAAGAACGAAAGUUAGGGGAUCGAAGACGAUCAGAUACCGUCGUAGUCUUAACCAUAAACUAUGCCGACUAGGGAUCGGAUGAUGUUAAUUUUUUAAUGACUCAUUCGGCGCCUUACGGGAAAC